rnacentral:rRNA from 1 species
ASSCCKGUKGCAGUUAAAAGCUCGUAGUUGGAUUUCGGGUAGGGUGGUGCGGUCCGCCUUUGGUGAGUACUGCUCCGCUUUACCUUCCUGCCGGGGACGGGCUCCUGGGCUUCACUGUUCGGGACUCGGAGUCGGCACUGUCACUUUGAGUAAAUUAGAGUGUUCAAAGCAGGCCUACGCUCUGAAUACAUUAGCAUGGAAUGACACGAUAGGACUCUGGCCUAUCUGUUGGUCUGUGGGACCGGAGUAAUGAUUAAGAGGGACAGUCGGGGGCAUUCGUAUUCCAUUGUCAGAGGUGAAAUUCUUGGAUUUAUGGAAGACGAACAUCUGCGAAAGCAUUUGCCAAGGAUGUUUUCAUUGAUCAAGAACGAAAGUUGGGGGCUCGAAGA